rnacentral:rRNA from 1 species
GACGAACGCUGGCGGCGUGCUUAACACAUGCAAGUCGAACGGAAAGGCCCUGCUUUUGUGGGGUGCUCGAGUGGCGAACGGGUGAGUAACACGUGAGUAACCUGCCCUUCACUUUGGGAUAACUUCAGGAAACUGGGGCUAAUCCCGUAUAGGAUCUCCUGCUGCAUGGUGGGGGUUGGAAAGUUUCGGCGGUUGGGGCUGGACGCGCGGCUUAUGAGCUUGUUGGUGGGGUAGUGGCUUACCAAGGCUUUGACGGGUAGCCGGCCUGAGAGGGUGACCGGCGACAUUGGGACUGAGAUACGGCCCAGACGCGUACGGGAGGCAGCAGUGGGGAAUAUUGCACAGUGGGCGGAAGCCGGAUGCAGCAACGCCGCGUGCGGGAUGACGGCCUUCGGGUUGUAAACCGCUUUCGCCUGUGACGAAGCGUGAGUGACGGUAAUGGGUAAAGAAGCACCGGCUAACUACGUG